rnacentral:rRNA from 1 species
CCUACGGGAGGCAGCAGUGAGGAAUAUUGGUCAAUGGACGAGAGUCUGAACCAGCCAAGUAGCGUGAAGGAUGACGGCCCUAUGGGUGGUAAACUUCUUUUAUAGGGGAAUAAAACGUGCCACGUGAGGGAUUUUGUAUGUACCAUAUGAAUAAGGAUCGGCUAACUCCGUGCCAGCAGCAGCGGUAAUACGGAGGAUCCGAGCGUUAUCCGGAUUUAGUGGGGUUAAAGGGAGCGUAGGGGGCUUGUUAAGUCAGUUGUGACAGUUUGCGGCUCAACCGUAAAAUGGCAGUUGAAACUGGCAGUCUUGAGUACAGUAGAGGUAGGCGGAAUUCGUGGUGUAGCGG